GGUCCCGCCUGCCCUGUGACUCUAAGUUUAACGGCCGCGGUAUUUUGACCGUGCGAAGGUAGCGCAAUCACUUGUCUUUUAAAUGGAGACCUGUAUGAAUGGCAUAACGAGGGCUUAGCUGUCUCCUUUCUCUAGUCAAUGAAAUUGAUCUCCCCGUGCAGAAGCGGGGAUAGAACCAUAAGACGAGAAGACCCUAUGGAGCUUUAGACGCCAAGACAGACCAUGUUAAACACCUCCCCAUAAGGAGCCCAAACCAAAUGGUCCCUGCCCUAGUGUCUUUGGUUGGGGCGACCGCGGGGAAACAUAAAACCCCCAUGUGGAAUGGGAGCACCCUCUCCUACAACUAAGAGCUACAGCUCUAAUGAACAGAAUUUCUGACCAACAAGAUCCGGCAAUGCCGAUCAACGGACCGAGUUACCCUAGGGAUAACAGCGCAAUCCCCUUUUAGAGCCCAUAUCGACAAGGGGGUUUACGACCUCGAUGUUGGAUCAGGACAUCCUAAUGGUGCAGCCGCUAUUAAGGGUUCGUUUGUUCAACGAUUAAAGUCCUACGUGAUC
rnacentral:rRNA from 1 species